AAUUCAGCUGAAGUAAUUCUGAAAGCGGUUGGUCAUGGGCGGAUCGUCAGAUAAUAUAGUGGAGAAGCAAAAAAAGAGAGAGAUAGUGUUUGAAAACAAUGCAGUAAAACCCCUUUUUCAAGUCUCUCAUUCCAGGCUCCACACACUAGUACUCUCAUAUCUCCCAGGUUCCAGACAGCACCACACUAAAUAAAUCAUAGUGAAGAGAGCCAGAUAUAUUCCUGGUGCCAUUAUUUAUCAACAACAAAUGAGGGGUUUUCAUGAAUGCGAACUUGACACUGAUCAUUAGAGCAAAGCCUCUGAAUUGACAGAGAAAGCAGCACUGAGGAAGCAGGGUUUGGAGCUUAUAUCCCACAAGCUAUGGACACGGUGCCAACAACCCACUGCAAGACACAUUUCUCAUUCCCAGUCACACUCACACCCACAGACAAUUCAGCAGCCCCUAUUCAUUUUAGAACCAGGAUAGAGACUUGAACCCCGGUCCCAGAGACAUGCUGCACCAUGAAUGUGGCAGAUCCACCACAAUUACAUAGGAAUGUACAGAGGUCCGAAAACCAGACAGGAAAUAUAAGGAGAUACAAGUAAAACGGUUUGGGGAAGAACACCGAGCCUGUGAAGACUCAGACCUCAUUAUUAAAACCAUCCUUUGAAUCCUUCGAAACACUAAAUCACUGCAGUUACAGAGAAUAUUUAAAUUAAGUUUGAGAAUGUUUCUGCAGUCAUUUAUUUAUUUGUUUGUUGGCUUGAUCAUUGGGUGUGUUAGUCAAUGCCACAUGAAAUUAAUUCCUCUGAAUACAGAUAGUCUACACCCAACGGCACUGGGAGGACACAGUGUAAUCAUUUAUAUAAGGUCUGUCUAUUUUUGGGGAUGAAUGAAGGUAAAUUAAAUAUUGGGGGGGUUAUGUUCCCCCUCCCCCCAGUUCCAACGCCCCUGUGUACAUUUUCACCUUUAAUGACACAUACCUUAGAUCUACUCUGUACAUUCUUUUUUCUUGUAUUUCACUUAUUACCCGGCUUUAUCCAUUCAUUAUUACCGCUACCCUGUCAAUCUCCCUGCUCCUUAAUUCUUUUCAGUCCUCUUUUUCUCUCCACCUCAUUUAGUACUCACUCUCAAUUCUUAUCUCUGUUUCUGUCCGUCUUGCUCUUUCCGCCGAGUUCACUUUCUCUCCCCCUCACCCGCUUUCCCUUUCCACCCGCCGUGUCUGUUUUUAGUCGCGGGGAGUGCACCUUCGGAGGCGGAGCUAGGAGAGUCGGGAGAGCUGUCUGCCGCGGCUGACGCGGCGCGACGGGAAGUGCUAGCCCUGAAAGCGAUCAGGGAUUCACACAGCAGAAAGGCUGCGGGCCCAAUCUGGCUGGAGAGAGAAGAGCCAUGUGCCAACAGAAGUCUCAUUAAGCCUGAAUAAGUACAUUCUCAAUAAGCCUCUCUCAUAACAACAGCUCAUAUGUGUACAAAGCAAAAUUGUAGCUUGCGGUCAUUCAUUAUACAAUGCUAAUAUGGCAGACCCACUAUUAUGACCCUGAUUAUAGUCAGGAUUAACACAAAUUAUGUGACGAAUAUAUAAUUGCUGUGUUGAUGUUUCUGUGGUGUGAGAAUCGAUCUAUUGUCAAAUGAAAUAGCCUAAUAAAGCUGGGAAUUACCUCAGGAGUCAACCGCCGCAGGCAGAAGCUCAACAUGGUACGUCGAUUCAAAACUGUCAGCUACCCUCAAUACGAAUCGUACAAAAAAACCACGUUGAGGCAAGCAUUCGACAGCCUUUCCCUACCCCUUUCCUCAAACAUAAAGAACACUCCGGAAACACACAGGAGUCCAUUUCCCAAAACCACUAAGGUGCUCUUUGCAAACAAAGCUUGGUACAGACGAGGUGAGGAUUUCCACUGGAAGGGCGAUGCGCCCAUCGCUCAUCGAGAGCAGGGGAACAGAUGGGGAGUGAAAACGCGUAUGGUGCAAACCUAAGUGCCAUUCAGAGCAUUAGUGAGGGAAUGCAGAUGCACAUGAAGAGCCUCCACCCUGCAAGAAUACAGUGCCCAGACAACACCAGAUGGAGUCAAAGCCAAGACCUAUGGAAGAAUGCAGCAUGACAGAGAAUGGGGAGGGAGAGAUGAAAGCAAGAAGAAAAGGAAGAAACCCUUCAGAAGAAGGAAGGGGAAGUGAGAAAGAGCAGAUAGACAUCAGACAAGAACCAGAUCAAAAAGAAAACACCCAGGCAGGCAAGAGCAGCUCCAUAGUAGAGUUUCAUCAACCUUUUUGCACCUUCAUGCAAUGGUCCAAGCAAACAUAUGCAGGGGAUGUAGCAAGGAAGAGAGAGCAACCCUGUCUACAAGUUGCAUGCAAUAGGUGACAGAAGAAAGAAGACAGUAGGAUUGCUUUGGCUGACAUCUUUGCAUACAGGCAAUCAUCCAGAAAACAACUGCACUCAAGUUGAGUGUCCAACUGCACUCAAGUGACUCAUUCUUUUCU